rnacentral:lncRNA from 1 species
AUGCCCUCUGUGUGUGGGGCUGCCAGGCAGGCCCCGCCGAGGGCUGAGCACUGGAGGCUCGCAGCUCCGCCUGUCAGCUGGUGGAUCCCAGCACCGGAACGCACCACCUUCCCGCUGGUGGGAUCAGCUGCCCUGUCCCGGUGCCAGGAGGCCUUCAGGCACAGCUGCACCCAGGCGGCCUGGCUGCCCCAUGCUACAAGACCAGUUGCCCCGAAACCUGUUUCCCCAAGAGGGACACGGGAUGGGGAACUCAUGACCACGGGCCACCCUCCAAGAGACAGGAAGGUGCCCACGGGGUGGGGACAUGACAGGUGUCAUCUCUCCUACGGACUCCGAAUCCACGGGGGUGGGGCCAGCCCUCCUCGACUCACUUGGUGGGGGGCUCACAAGAGACCCCCUUGUCAGAUGAGGAAACAGCCUUCAGAGGGGACAGCACCGAGUGUCCUCAGCCAGGAAGGGGCCCUGCUCUGCACCCUCGGUAUGAGACCCAAGUCCUCCUACAAGUCCUCAGUGUCCACCUCUGGGGCUGUCCGUGCGGGUCCCCUGGUCUGCAGGUGCCUCAUUAUCAUGGAAUCUGAGCUUCAUCCGCAGAAGGAGGAGCAGACGGGACUGGGGUGUGACCCCAGGAGACCCAGCCCGGCUCCCCACGGACUCACCCCAGCCCCAGCCCAGCUCCCCACGCACUCACCCCAGGAGACCCAGCCCAGCUCCCCACGGACUCACCUCCAGCCCAGACCCAGCUCCCCAUGGUCUCACCCCUGGUCCCAGCUCCCUGUGCUCUCCGUCCAUCCAGCACUGACACUGUCCCUGCAGGUCCGUCCACCCCACCUCCCAACUCCCCUGGGCCUGCUGGUCACUGAGGCCUCCAGCCCACCUCCUCCCCUUCUGAGCCCCAGAACCCCCUGCCUGUCCCCCGACUGCCAACACAGGGCCACUCCAGGGCUCCCCCUGCCCCCACCCGGCCUGGGACCGGCCUGGUUUGGGGCUGACGCUGCACACCGAGGCCAUAUCCACCUGAACUCUUUCCAGGCAGCAUCCCCCGGGGACAGGCAGGGGUGGCCCAGACCGCUCCUGCUCACGACCCUGCUCCUCAUCCACUCUCUGGACAAACCCCACAGGCCUCCACCUGCCCCGUCCUGGUUCCAUGAACGAGGCCCACAAGAGGGACCCUCAGGAGCCCAGGAAGUGAGGGGAUAG